rnacentral:rRNA from 1 species
GAUGAACGCUGGCUACAGGCUUAACACAUGCAAGUCGAGGGGGAAACGACGGGGAAGCUUGCUUCCCCGGGCGUCGACCGGCGCACGGGGGAGUAACGCGUAUCCAACCUGCCUCUGACUGAGGGAUAACCCGUCGAAAGUCGGCCUAAUACCUCAUGGCCUCGUCUGCAGGCCUCCAACGCCGCUUACAGAUUUCAUCGGUCAGAGAUGAGGAUGCGUCUGAUUAGCUUGUUGGCGGGGUACCGGCCCACCAAGGCGACGAUCAGUAGGGGUUCUGAGAGGAAGGUCCCCCACAUUGGAACGGAGACACGGUCCAAACUCCGACGGGAGGCAGCAGUGUGGAAUAUUGGUCAAUGGGCGAGAGCCUGAACCAGCCAAGUAGCGUGCAGGAUGCCGGCCCUAGGGGUUGUAAACUGCUUUUAUGCGGGGAUAAAGUGAGGGACGUGUCCUUCAUUGCCGGUACCGCAUGAAUAAGGACCGGCUAAUUCCGUG